rnacentral:rRNA from 1 species
AUUGAACGCUGGCGGCGUGCUUAACACAUGCAAGUCGAUCGGUAACGCGGGGGCAACCCUGGCGACGAGAGGCGGACGGGUGAGGAACGCUUGGGAAUCUGCCUAUCAGCGGGGGACAACACGGGGAAACUCGUGCUAAUACCGCAUACGCUCUACGGAGGAAAGCCGGGGACCGCAAGGCCUGGCACUGAUAGCUGAGCCCAAGCCGGAUUAGCUAGUUGGCGGGGUAACGGCCCACCAAGGCGGCGAUCCGUAGCUGGUCUGAGAGGACGAUCAGCCACACUGGAACUGAGACACGGUCCAGACUCCUACGGGAGGCAGCAGUGGGGAAUAUUGGACAAUGGGGGAAACCCUGAUCCAGCGACGCCGCGUGGGUGAAGAAGGCCUGCGGGUUGUAAAGCCCUUUCGGUAGGGACGAAAGCUCUCGACCUAACACGUCGGGAGGUUGACUUAACCUACAGAAGAAGCACCGGCUAACUCUGUGCCAGCAGCCGCAGUAAAAC